UACGUAGGGACCGAGCGUUGUCCGGAAUCAUUGGGCGUAAAGAGCGUGUAGGCGGCCUUUUAAGUCCUGCGUGAAAUCCUGCGGCUCAACCGCAGACGGUCGUGGGAAACUGGAAGGCUAGAGUGCGGGAGAGGAGAGUGGAAUUCCCGGUGUAGCGGUGGAAUGCGUAGAGAUCCCCAAGAACACCAGUUGCGAAGGCGGUCGUCUGGACACAUAUUGACGCUGAGGCUCGAAAGCAUGGGGAGCAAACAGG
rnacentral:rRNA from 1 species